AAAAGUCAAACAAAUUUGCAAUGGGGCCACUAAGAGCACGUUCAACUCUGAUUCAGAGAUGUUUCCGUUUAUCUGUUCUCUGUCAAUCAUGAAAUAAGAAAGAUGAAAAAUACAAUUAUGUACAAGGAGACAGAACUCCUAAUUCUUUCAUCCUAAUUGAAGCAAAAGAAUUUUAAUUGCUUGAAAAACACAAGAUUUUUGUUUC
ensembl:misc_RNA